CUGGCCAAGGUUAUGCUCGGAAGUGUUUGGGCAGAGUGGGGAGAUUGUCUUCUGGUGAUGUGGCAUUAACAAGGGCAGUGGUUCCAUUUGUCUUUAUGGCCUGCCCUUCCUGGGGAAUUGUCAUCCGUCUCCAGCCUACAGUGCAUUGUGUGCACUAACCAGGAGGCAGGACUGUAAGAGAGACUGAAAGAGACAUCAGGAGGGCAGUACAGUGCCUUGAGGAAUCAUCCUUGAAACAUAACAUGCUCUCGUUGCAGGAUGUGGAAGUGCCACAUGCUGCUUCAGGGAGUUAGAGUGUUAGAACUGGACUUUGAGCUGAGGCUUCCACCCUUUUCUGUCUUUACAGAUAAGAAAAUUGGAGGAUAAACCUUCCAGAGGAUAUACCAUUUGCUUGGUGUCUCAGAACCAGAGUUUGGGGCUCCAGAGUCCCAGGCCUUCUCAUUGGACUACCCUGCUCCUCUUUGAUCUUAUUAAGGAAACUUUGUCCAUGAAAUUAGUCACUGGAAUCACCAAAACUCAAUUUUAAAAAUUGACUUUAUUUCGAAGUUGGCAGUGAAGAUUUGCAGAACUCAAGGGUCUUGGUUCUUGUUCCCCCAUCCACCUGGGCAUACAUCUAUUGCAGAGGCUGGAGAAUGUUUUCAGUAUGAAUAAGGAAUGGUUCUUGCCCUCAAGAGCCCCUGCUUGUAGGGGAGGAGAUGGCAGUGAAGGAGGGAGGGACUCCUUCUUUGAAGGAAUUAUUCAGAAAGGAGGAUCUGGGCCGUUUGACUAGAACCCAGAUCUUAUAGUUGAGGGGGCUGUGAGGGUAGAAUGGGGGUGAAGGACAUUCUUUGGCCAAGAGGGCAGCAUGGGCCAAGCUUCGGAGGCAUGAGAGAUUAUGUUUGGGGACUGGAGAGUGGCCUGGAAAUAGGGCCCUCAGGCCACUUGACUUUCUCUGAGACAAGAUAACUGGCUAGUUGCUGCCCUUACUGAUAUCUGGAAAGCAUGGCCUCCUCCUAUCUAGAAUAAUAAGCAAGCAGUUAUCUGAACUACAUGCAUAUGUGGGUAUAGGAAAGCAUAUGUCAAGUUUCCUGGAUGGAUAUGACUUCCCUUUGAAUUUAAUUCAUAAAUAGUGAUGAAGGUCAUAAAAGUACAUGCGCACGACACAUGUAUUUAGCUACUGCUGUGGACCCAUCUUGCCAGGUGCAGAGCAUUCAGGAGAACCAGCUGCCUAGAGAAGGAAAAGGGAACUCUGUGGUGGCUAAAGCACUGACUCCCAGAGCCUACUGUGAGACCAAGGGAAACUUUUAAUUGAGAAGAGCCCUUUCCUUGGCACUUACAAUUGUGUCAGUCACUCAAGCUGUAAUUUCAAGGGAUACGCACAGAGGGACCUGGCCUUGACAAUGAGCACCCUGACCACGCCUUUCCAAUGCGACCAGUGCUUCUGUUCUUGCAAGCGUUGCUCUUCUGGGUAAAGGUCUCCUUCUUUCAGCUGUGCAGACAAGACCGGGCUUAUUUUUGCAGAACCUGGAGAUGGCGUUACAGGAUGCUCCUUUGAAUAAAAUCUCCUCUGAGAAUUUUCUUAAUAAGAUGAUUUGAGUUCCUCUUAGGAAUUAAGCUGACGUUGGCUGCUGUUUUUCUGGUAAGACUUUUUACUUUCAGAAUGCAUGCUGGGCUGACAAUCACCAUGGUCUGGUUUUGGAGCAGUCAGACUCACAUGACAAUCGAAGGCUCUGGCAGGGAAGAGUUGGUAGCUUUUUACUCAGUAAACAGCGCAGUGGGCUUUGGUGGAUGCAGCCUCUGUGAGCUUGGGUCUUCCUAGACCAGAAGGUGGAGUCUUCGGUAGUUGCUGCUUCUUGUUCGUUCCUUUUUUCUUUGGCGAAACACGAUUCUUGUCUUAGUGAGUUCUGUUAAAUCCAUUCUUUUCCAAAUGGGGCUGCUAUUGUGUGGAAGGGAUUGGAACUUUCUCUCCCUCUGGUCAUCCCUUGCCAUCCCUCGGGUGAUUCGGUUUCCCAUUUUCUGAGAUGUGUCCACGGGCUUGUCCCCCACCCCCGCUUAUAUAAGGAGGCAGGGUGCAUCUGGUGCCAGAUUUCAUUCAGCCCUGUAACAAUCCCCCCUUUAUGACAUCACUGCUCAUCACCAUGGAAACAGUCCCGAGUCACAGAGACUGGAUUGUAGCAUCAUAGCAUCAGACAGGACAAGGGGGAGAGGAGAGGAGGGAAUUGAGACUGUCUGGAGAGAUGAAAUUCCAAUAAAAUACCAUGUGAUGGCAGGAUGUGGGAUUUUUCUGUUUGGAUUCUUGCACAGAAAGUCUAGCCAUGGGUUGCCAGAGUAAACCUCAUCUAGGAUAAGGAGGAAGAGCUGUUGUGGCAUGUGGACUCCGGACUCUUUGUUCUUGCUCGUUUGCUCUGACAAAACCAGCUACCAUGUUGUGAGCUGCCCUCUGGACAACAGCCGGUGAAGAACUGAGGCUCGUGGCCCAACAGCCGUAGAAGUGAGCCUGGAAGCAGAUAUUCCUCAAGUUGAGGCUUGAGAUCACCAUAGUCUGACUGACACCCUGAUCAGAGCCUUGUGAGCAGCCCUGAGCUGGAGGACUCAGCUAAGCUGUACCUGGAUUCCCAACCCACAGAGUGGAUACAAUAAAUAUCUGUUAUUUUAAGCCA